rnacentral:rRNA from 1 species
CCUACGGGAGGCAGCAGUGGGGAAUAUUGGUCAAUGGGCGCAAGCCUGACCCAGCAACGCCGCGUGAAGGAAGAAGGCCCUCGGGUUGUAAACUUCUUUUGUCAGGGACGAAGCAAGUGACGGUACCUGACGAAUAAGCCACGGCUAACUACGUGCCAGCAGCCGCUGUAAUACGUAGGUGGCAAGCGUUAUCCGGAUUUACUGGGUGUACAGGGCGUGUAGGCGGGGAAGCAAGUCAGAUGUGAAAUUCCAGGGCUCAACCCUGGAACGGGAUUUGAAACUGUGUUUCUUGAGUGAUGGGGAGGCAGGCGGAAUUCCGGGUGGAGCGGUGAAAUGCGGAGAUAUACGGAGGAACACCAGUGGCGAAGGCGGCCUGCUGGACAUUAACUGACGCUGAGGCGCGAAAGCGCGGGGAGCAAACAGGAUUAGAUACCCUAGUAGUC